UAGGUCUCACUAAUCUAGAUGACUCGUUCCUAACCCAAGUAGUUCGCAUAAACAAGAUAGUAAACACGUAGCAAGUAAGUGCGAAAAAUUAAAACACACAAAAGAAAGGGUGUAAAAGAGAAAGAAAAACCUAAAUCUAGGGUUCCCUAAUAAAAAUGAACUAGACCUUGCUCCUAACGUUAAGGACCACCAAAAACUCAAUAAAUCCAAAAUUAUUCGGACCGGUUUGGCCAGUUUGGAGCAGGCAUUGCCAAGAGGCCAAUCUCCGCGCUUAGACACCAAAC
rnacentral:lncRNA from 1 species